CACACACACACACACACACACACACACACACACACACACACACACACACUCCCAACACCUCCACAGGAAGCCCGUUCCAGGCCACUAUGAUGUAACAUCCUGUAAUCGCAGCACUUUGUUUCCCCACAGUGAGAAUUACUGCUUUUAAAAAAUGCUGAGAGAGAAAGUGUGUGUGUGUGUGUGUGUGUGUGUGUGUGUGUGUGUGUGUGUGGGUGUGUGUGUUCUUUCCUCCCAGCAACAUAUUUCAUGUUUAAUGUAGCUUUGCUGAAUACAUUCAGAGACAAAAAAGGAUACGGUAUGUCUGGGUUAUAGUCUGUCUGGGUUAUAGUCUGUUUGUGUUGUAGUCUGUCUGGGUUAUAGUCUGUCUGGGUUAUGGUCUGUCUGGGUUAUAGUCUGUCUGGGUUAUAGUCUGGGUUAUAGUCUGUCUGGGUUAUAGUCUGUAUGGGUUAUAGUCUGUUUGUGUUGUAGUCUGUCUGGGUUAUAGUCUGUCUGGGUUAUGGUCUGUCUGGGUUAUAGUCUGUCUGGGUUAUAGUCUGUCUGGGUUAUGGUCUGUCUGGGUUAUAGUCUGUCUGGGUUAUAGUCUGUCUGGGUUAUAGUCUGUCUGGGUUAUAGUCUGUCUGGGUUAUGGUCUGUCUGGGUUAUAGUCUGUCUGGGUUAUAGUCUGUCUGGGUUAUAGUCUGUCUGGGUUAUAGUCUGUCUGGGUUAUAGUCUGGGUUAUAGUCUGUCUGGGUUAUAGUCUGUCUGGGUUAUAGUCUGUUUGUGUUGUAGUCUGUCUGGGUUAUAGUCUGUCUGGGUUAUGGUCUGUCUGGGUUAUAGUCUGUCUGGGUUAUAGUCUGUCUGGGUUAUGGUCUGUCUGGGUUAUAGUCUGUCUGGGUUAUAGUCUGUCUGGGUUAUAGUCUGUCUGGGUUAUGGUCUGUCUGGGUUAUAGUCUGUCUGGGUUAUAGUCUGUCUGGGUUAUAGUCUGUUUGUGUUGUAGUCUGUCUGGGUUAUAGUCUGUCUGGGUUAUAGUCUGUCUGGGUUAUGGUCUGUCUGGGUUAUAGUCUGUCUGGGUUAUGGUCUGUCUGGGUUAUAGUCUGUCUGGGUUAUAGUCUGUCUGGGUUAUAGUCUGUCUGGGUUAUAGUCUGUCUGGGUUAUGGUCUGUCUGGGUUAUAGUCAGGGUUACAGUCUGUCUGGGUUAUAGUCUGUCUGGGUUAUAGUCUGUUUGUGUUGUAGUCUGUCUGGGUUAUAGUCUGUUUGUGUUAUAGUCUGUCUGGGUUAUAGUCUGUCUGGGUUAUAGUCUGUCUGGGUUAUAGUCUGUCUGGGUUAUAGUCUGUCUGGGUUAUAGUCUGUCUGGGUUAUAGUCUGUCUGUGUUGUAGUCUGUCUGGGUUUUAGUCUGUCUGGGUUAUAGUCUGGGUUAUAGUCUGUCUGGGUUAUAGUCUGUCUGGGUUAUAGUCUGUCUGGGUUAUAGUCUGUCUGGGUUAUAGUCUGUCUGGGUUAUAGUCUGUCUGGGUUAUAGUCUGUCUGGGUUAUAGUCUGUCUGGGUUAUAGUCUGUCUGGGUUAUGGUCUGUCUGGGUUAUAGUCUGUCUGGGUUAUAGUCUGUCUGGGUUAUAGUCUGUCUGUGUUGUAGUCUGUCUGGGUUUUAGUCUGUCUGGGUUAUAGUCUGGGUUAUAGUCUGUCUGGGUUAUAGUCUGUCUGGGUUAUAGUCUGUUUGUGUUGUAGUCUGUCUGGGUUAUAGUCUGUCUGGGUUAUAGUCUGUCUGGGUUAUAGUCUGUUUGUGUUGUAGUCUGUCUGGGUUAUAGUCUGUUUGUGUUAUAGUCUGUCUGGGUUAUAGUCUGUCUGGGUUAUAGUCUGUCUGGGUUAUGGUCUGUCUGGGUUAUAGUCUGUCUGGUUUAUAGUCUGUCUGGGUUAUAGUCUGUCUGGGUUAUAGUCUGUCUGGGUUAUAGUCUGUCUGGGUUAUAGUCUGUCUGGGUUAUAGUCUGUCUGGGUUAUAGUCUGUCUGGGUUAUGGUCUGUCUGUGUUGUAGUGUGUCUGGGUUAUAGUCUGUCUGGUUUUUUUCCUAUUUUUUCAUUUAUUUAUUACCCCAUUUUCUCCACAAUUUCGUGGUUUCCAAUUGGUAGUUACAGUCUUGUCUCAUCGCUGCGACUCCCGUAUGGACUCGGGAGAGGCGAAGGUCGAGAGUCGUGCAUCCUCCGAAACACAACCCAAACCAAGCUGCAUUGCUUCUUGAAACACUUAACCCGGAAGCCACUCUGAUGUGUCAGAGAAGACACCGUACACCUGGUGACCUUGUCAGCAUUGCACCCGGUCUGCCACCUAGCUUCUGGGCCUGAGUAGCAGGCAGUUUACUUUGGGCAGGCUUUUCAUCCGGACGUGAAAAUACUGCCCCCUAUCCCAAAGAGUUUAAUGACAACAAAGUCAAGGUAUUGUAGUGGCCAUCACAAAGCCCUGACCUCAAUCCUAUAGAAAAUGUGUGGGCAGAACUGAAAAAGCGUGUGCGAGCAAGGAGGCCUACAAUCCUGGUGAUGCUGGUGAUCCUAACUGACCGAAAAAAAUGAUUUUUGUUUUGCUAAGAUUAAAUGUCCCAGGUGUUGUAUGUUUGUCUCUACCUGUGUGUUGGUUCCAGGUGUUGUAUGUUUGUCUCUACCUGUGUGUUGGUUCCAGGUGUUGUAUGUUUGUCUCUACCUGUGUGUUGGUUCCAGGUGUUGUAUGUUUGUCUCUACCUGGGUCCCAGGUGUUGUAUGUUUGUCUCUACCUGUGUGUUGGUCCCAGGUGUUGUAUGUUUGUCUCAACCUGUGUGUUGGUUCCAGGUGUUGUAUGUUUGUCUCAACCUGUGUGUUGGUCCCAGGUGUUGUAUGUUUGUCUCUACCUGUGUGUUGGUCCCAGGUGUUGUAUGUUUGUCUCUACCUGUGUGUUGGGUCCCAGGUGUUGUAUGUUUGUCUCUACCUGUGUGUUGGUCCCAGGUGUUGUAUGUUUGUCUCAACCUGUGUGUUGGUCCCAGGUGUUGUAUGUUUGUCUCUACCUGUGUGUUGGUCCCAGGUGUUGUAUGUUUGUCUCUACCUGUGUGUUGGUUCCAGGUGUUGUAUGUUUGUCUCUACCUGUGUGUUGGUUCCAGGUGUUGUAUGUUUGUCUCUACCUGGGUCCCAGGUGUUGUAUGUUUGUCUCUACCUGUGUGUUGGUCCCAGGUGUUGUAUGUUUGUCUCAACCUGUGUGUUGGUCCCAGGUGUUGUAUGUUUGUCUCAACCUGUGUGUUGGUCCCAGGUGUUGUAUGUUUGUCUCAACCUGUGUGUUGGUCCCAGGUGUUGUAUGUUUGUCUCAACCUGUGUGUUGGUCCCAGGUGUUGUAUGUUUGUCUCAACCUGUGUGUUGGUCCCAGGUGUUGUAUGUUUGUCUCUACCUGUGUGUUGGUUCCAGGUGUUGUAUGUUUGUCUCAUCCUGUGUGUUGGUCCCAGGUGUUGUAUGUUUGUCUCUACCUGUGUGUUGGUCCCAGGUGUUGUAUGUUUGUCUCUACCUGUGUGUUGGGUCCCAGGUGUUGUAUGUUUGUCUCUACCUGUGUGUUGGUCCCAGGUGUUGUAUGUUUGUCUCAACCUGUGUGUUGGGUCCCAGGUGUUGUAUGUUUGUCUCAUCCUGUGUGUUGGUCCCAGGUGUUGUAUGUUUGUCUCUACCUGUGUGUUGGUCCCAGGUGUUGUAUGUUUGUCUCAACCUGUGUGUUGGUCCCAGGUGUUGUAUGUUUGUCUCAACCUGUGUGUUGGUCCCAGGUGUUGUAUGUUUGACUCAACCUGUGUGUUGGGUUCCAGGUGUUGUACGCGGUGAAGGAUUGUGUAGACGCCCCCUCAGUGUGGUCAGUCCCAGGGGAGAGGAGUGUUUCUGUCCUCCUGGGGGAACUCCUGAAGUACACAGUCUACCAGAUACAGCUGGUAGCAUUCACACAGCUGGGGGACGGACCACCGAGCCCCAGAACACUACACAGGACCAAGGACGACGUUCCAGGUCCUCCAGUGAGGCUGUUGUUUCCAGAGGUUCGUCUGACGUCUGUCAGGGUGGUGUGGCAGCCGCCUACUGACCCCAACGGGAUUAUCAUGGGUGA